AAAAGAUUUCAGAAAAAAAAUUGAGAAGACUGGCAAUGGAUAUAAAUCAAAUGUUGCUGAAUUCGACCUUGUUAUGCAGACAACCAAAGCUCAAACACAUGAUUCAGCAUCCUGCCUCAAAGAACAAUCAUGCUUGCCCUUAGGUGGACACAGUGUAUGGACUUCAUUACCACCACUUAAAAACGGAUCUACAGAGC